CAAGUUACAAUCUAGGAUUGGUUUUUAUUUACAUUAAAAGCUUAUUUGUGCAAUUCAAAUUAACUUGA
rnacentral:tRNA from 1 species